rnacentral:rRNA from 1 species
GACGAACCCGUCCUAACGUUGUUCGGAAUCACUGGGCUUAAAGGGCGCGUAGGCAGGUUACCAAGUCAGGGGUGAAAUCUUUCGGCUUAACCGAAAAACAGCUUCUGAUACUGGUAGUCUAGAGGGAGGUAGGGGCAUGUGGAACUUCCGGUGGAGCGGUGAAAUGCGUUGAUAUCGGAAGGAACUCCGGUGGCGAAAGCGACGUGCUGGACCUCUUCUGACGCUGAGGCGCGAAAGCUAGGGGAGCAAACGGGAUUAGAACCU